GGAUCUGGAACACGCUGUCGUACACGUCGAUCCCAAACAGGCUCAAUUGGUGACAUGUCUGAGGCCUGGAACCAGUUUGUCUGUCUGCCAGCCUGACCCCUGCUCUUUGAUCAGAGAGCUGGCUGUGCUGAAGGAGAAAUUGGGAACCACGGACCAGAAACUGGGAGCUGUGGAGGAGAUGAGGAGUAGGAACAAAGUUCAAGAGGAAGAACUGAAGACUUUGAAGGAGGGUUUAAAGUGUCUGGUUCUGGGCGUUUGGACCGAUCUCCACCGACAUCCAUUUACAGUAGAAGCGAGUAUUCUCCAACAUUGGCAGUGGCUACAACUCUGCUAAAGGUGUCUUCACAGCCAUGGUGAAGGGGGUGUAUUUCUUCCAUUACUCCAGCCUUUCCCAAACUCUGUCCUGGGGAACCCAAGUGGUGUACGCUUAGUUUUUUGCCAGAGUACUACACAGCUGAUUUUAAAUAAUGAACUCAUCAUCAAGCUUUGAUUAUUUGAAUCAGCUGUGUAGUACUAGGGCAAAAAAACUAAAUGUGCACCCCUUCGUGUCCCCCACCCCUUCGUGUCCCCAGGACCGAGUUUGGGAAACACAGCGUUACACCAUGUACAACCAAGGAAGUUUACCAUCUGCCAUGUCUACGAUGAAGAAAGGCUACCUGCGUCUACCUGGUAAAGCACCAAAGAUCGUGACAAUGACAGUAACACAGCCGUAGUGAAGCUGGAGGUGGGAGCCAGUGUUUACGUACAGCUAUGGGCUACCAGGGUUGUCUUCAAUGAUACUGGAAUCGACAAUGGUAAUGCAGGUUUUAAUCAAAUACCUAUUAAACAGUCAUACUAUCAUAAUGUAUUUGUUUGUUGCUCUGCUGCAUUUAGUCUUGGAUGUCAGGAUCUUACUACCCUUCACCAAAAUAUUUAUUUGGGGGUUAAUUUUAGAUCGUUUCUUCUUGUCAUACUGUUAAUGUUAAAAGUAUUCACAUAAAUAAAUGAACAAUAAAAUGGAUAAUUAAAGGUG